GAUAAAAUGGCUGAAUAUAGGCAAUAAACUGUAAAUUUAUAAAUGAAAAUUAAUAUAUUUUCUUUUAUCA
rnacentral:tRNA from 1 species